rnacentral:rRNA from 1 species
UACAGAGGUCUCAAGCGUUGUUCGGAUUCAUUGGGCGUAAAGGGUGCGUAGGUGGCGCGGUAAGUCGGGUGUGAAAGCUCCUGGCUUAACCGGGAGUGGUCGGUGGAAACUGCCAAUCUGGAGGACGGUAGAGGUAGGUAGAAUUCCCGGUGUAGUGGUGAAAUGCGUAGAGAUCGGGAGGAAUACCUGUGGCGAAGGCGGCCUACUGGGCCGGACCUGACGCUGAGACGCGAAGGCGUGGGGAGCGAACGGG